CUACGGGACGCACCAGUGGGGAAUAUUGGACAAUGGGGGAAACCCUGAUCCAGCAAUGCCGCGUGUGUGAAGAAGGCCUGCGGGUUGUAAAGCACUUUCGGUUGGGAGGACUGCUUCUAGCACUAAUAUUGUUGGAAGUUGACGUUACCUUCAGAAGAAGCACCGGCUAACUCCGUGCCAGCAGCCGGGGUAAUACGGAGGGUGCAUGCGUUAAUCGGAAUUACUGGGCGUAAAGCGCGCGUAGGCGGCUAGAUCAGUCGGGUGUGAAAGCCCCGGGCUUAACCUGGGAACUGCAUCCGAUACUGGCUAGCUUGAGUACAGGAGAGGAGAGUGGAAUUCCAGAUGUAGCGGUGAAAUGCGUAGAUAUGUGGAGGAACACCAAUGGCGAAGGCAGCUCUCUGGCCUGAUACUGACGCUGAGGUGCGAAAGCGUGGGGAGCAAACAGGAUUAGAUACCCGCGUAGUC
rnacentral:rRNA from 1 species